rnacentral:rRNA from 1 species
UUUUGAAACUGAUUACCUAGAAUAUGGGAGAGGUAGAUGGAAUUUCUGGUGUAGGGGUAAAAUCCGUAGAGAUCAGAAGGAAUACCGAUUGCGAAGGCGAUCUACUGGAACAUUAUUGACGCUGAGACGCGAAAGCGUGGGGAGCAAACAGGAUUAGAUACCCUGGUAGUCCACGCCCUAAACGAUGCACACUAGUUGUUGUGAGGCUCGACCUUGCAGUAAUGCAGUUAACACAUUAAGUGUGCCGCCUGGGGAGUACGGUCGCAAGAUUAAAACUCAAAGGAAUAGACGGGGACCCGCACAAGCGGUGGAGCAUGUGGUUUAAUUCGACGAUACACGAAGAACCUUACCUGGACUUGACAUAGUAAGAACUAUCUAGAGAUAGAUGGGUGUCUGCUUGCAGAAACUUAUAUACAGGUGCUGCACGGCUGUCGUCAGCUCGUGUCGUGAGAUGUUGGGUUAAGUCCCGCAACGAGCGCAACCCUCGUCAUUAGUUGCUAACAGUUCGGCUGAGAACUCUAAUGAGACUGCCUACGUAAGUAGGAGGAAGGUGAGGACGACGUCAAGUCAUCAUGGCCCUUACGUCCAGGGCUACACACGUGCUACAAUGGGGUAUACAAAGAGCCGCAAUACAGUGAUGUGGAGCAAAUCUCAAAAAUAUCUCCCAGUUCGGAUUGUAGUCUGCAACUCGACUACAUGAAGUUGGAAUCGCUAGUAAUCGUAGAUCAGCUAUGCUACGGUGAAUACGUUCCCGGGUCUUGUACUCACCGCCCGUCACACCAUGGGAGUUGAACUCAUUCGAAGCGGGGAUGCUAAAAUAGCUACCUUCCACAGUGGAUUUAGCGACUGGGGUGAAGUCGUAACAAGGUAACCGUAGGAGAACCUGCGGUUG